CUGCUGCUCUAGUUUACUGUGAAAUGCAGUCUUAUGGCAGGGAAGUAGAAAGCAUGGUCUUUGGGGUUCAUAUGGGACUUUCACUGCACAAUCCCAAAUGUGAAAGGAACAUGCUGUGCAUGACUAGUUUCCUCUAGUCUGUACAGCCAAGCUUGUGUUAGAUGGAUGAAAUCUGUGGCAAAAAUGCACAGAAGAGACUGUUUUCCCCAAAAUGCGCUGUAUAUGGCUCUUCAAGGAGCAGCUGACACAGCCCUAGAGCAGAGAUUUCCAAGGACACAUUCCCAUCUCUGCCAGUUCCUACUGCAGCAGCAGCAGUACCUUGGCUGAACAAAGAGGCUUCCACUUUCCUGCUGCACACAGCCACUUCUGCCAGAGGCUGGCGAGAUGAACACAAACAGCUCCAGUCAGGCUGGAUCAAGGCUUCUCUGCAGCUGCAGCACAGCUUGAAUACUCACUGCAGCCAAAACGAGGGGAUGGGAAGGGAAAAGGACAGUCACACUGCCCUCAACUCAGGGCCAGGAAAACUGAUUUGGAGCCAAUAAAGCAAUUCAGGAUGA